CCUGGACUGCGUGUUUCCAUCCAUCGUCGAGUUUCUUCUAGUUUUUUCUUUCCUUUCUCCCUCGGUUUUUUUUAUUACAUGCAAGCCAGUGGCAACUCUUUCUUCACGAAUAAGGUUCUCUCGUGACCGUUUUUAAAGGUCUAUCCCUUCUACUCCAUUUUGAGUCUUCAUGGUCCUACUGGAUGUACCUCCAAACAGCUGUGAAGAAACAACCAAAGGGACUGGAGAGAUGGAAGAUGGCUGUCCUAGAAGAUCCAGGAAGACUCCUAGCAUCCAUAUGAUGGCUCACAACCAUAUGGAACUCUAGUCCCAGGGGAUACUACACCCUCUUCUGGCCUCUAUAGGCACUGCACACAUGUCAUAUACAGACAUACAUGUAAACAAAACACCCACACAUUUAAAAAAAAAAAAAAAAAAACAGAAAGGGGCUGGAGAGAUGGCCCAGUGGUUAAGAGCACUGACUGCUCUUCCAGAGAUCCUGAGUUCAAAUCCCAGCAACCACAUGGUGGCUCACAACCAUCUGUAAAGAGAUCUUAUACCCUCUUCUGGCCUGCAGCUGUACAUGCAGAUAUUAAAUUAAAAUUAUUAAAUAUUUUAUAUUUUCAUGUUAAAUAAUAUUUUUUAAGGGCUGGAAAGAUGGCUCAGCAGUUAAGAGCACUGACUGCUCUUCCAGAGGUCCUGAGUUCAAUUCCCAGCAACCACAUGGUGACUCACAACCAUCUGUAAUGGGGUCCGAUGCCGCCUUCUGGUGUGUCUGAAGACAGCUACAGUGUUCUUAUAUAUAAUAAAUGAAUAAAUCUUUAAAAAAAAUAAGAAUAUUUUUUAAAAAUGAACAACUACAGCUGGAGAGAUGGCUGAUUAGUUAAGAGCACUGGCUGAUCUUCCAGAGUCCCAGCAACCACACAGCAGCUCACAACUGUGGUGACACCAGUCCCAGGGGAUCCAGCGCCCUCUUCUGGCCUCUACAGGCAUUACACACAUGUAGUACAUAGACAACAUGAAAGUAUAACAUCCAUACAAUCCAUACACAUAAAUUAAUUUAAAAAAUAACUACAAUGCUAUUCAAAGUUUGGUGCUGAUUAAUAUUUGAUACACAUCUAUUAGAGAAAAUUUCAGAAACAAAGUAUAUUUAGAAACA